GAUCUGCUCAGUGAUGAAUAUUAAAUAGCUGCAGAAUUUUAACUGUACAAAGGUAGCAUAAUAAUUAGUUUAUUAAUUGUAAACUGGAAUGAAUGAUUUGUUAAGAUAUUCAUUGUUUCUUUAUAAAUAAUAAAAUUUUAAUUUUAAGUAAAAAUGCUUAAAUAUAAUAAUGGGACGAGAAGACCCUAUAGAUUUUAAUAUUAAAUUUAAAGUUAAUUGUUUAAAUUAUUUUAUUACUUAAAUUUAGUAUUUGAAUGGGGAAUUAUAAAAAUUAAAUAAUUUUUUAUUUAAGUUACAUUAAUUUGUGAAGUUAAAUUAAUAAUUUGUGGUUAAAUAAAAUAAAAAUACCUUAGGGAUAACAGCAUAAUAAUUUUUUUAAGAUCAAAUUUUAAGCAAUUGAUUGUGACCUCGAUGU
rnacentral:rRNA from 1 species